rnacentral:rRNA from 1 species
UACGUAGGGCGCGAGCGUGUCCGGAAUUAUUGGGCGUAAAGAGCUCGUAGGCGGUCUGUCGCGUCGGCUGUGAAAACCCGGGGCUCAACCCCGGGCCUGCAGUCGAUACGGGCAGGCUCGAGUUCGGUAGGGGAGACUGGAAUUCCUGGUGUAGCGGUGAAAUGCGCAGAUAUCAGGAGGAACACCGGUGGCGAAGGCGGGUCUCUGGGCCGAUACUGACGCUGAGGAGCGAAAGCGUGGGGAGCGAACAGG